rnacentral:rRNA from 1 species
UACGAAGGGGACUAGCGUUGUUCGGAUUUACUGGGCGUAAAGCGCGCGUAGGCGGAUCGCUAAGUCAGGGGUGAAAUCCCAGGGCUCAACCCUGGAACUGCCUUUGAUACUGACGAUCUGGAGAUCGGGAGAGGUUGGUGGAAUUCCGAGUGUAGAGGUGAAAUUCGUAGAUAUUAGGAAGAACACCGGUGGCGAAGGCGGCCCACUGGUCCGGUACUGACGCUGAGGUGCGAAAGCGUGGGGAGCAAACAGG